rnacentral:rRNA from 1 species
GACGAACGCUGGCGGCGUGCUUAACACAUGCAAGUCGAACGGAAAGGCCCUGCUUGCAGGGUACUCGAGUGGCGAACGGGUGAGUAACACGUGGGUGAUCUGCCCUGCACUUCGGGAUAAGCCUGGGAAACUGGGUCUAAUACCGGAUAGGAGCCAUUUUUCGUGUGAUGGUUGGAAAGUUUUUUUGGUGUAGGAUGAGCUCGCGGCCUAUCAGCUUGUUGGUGGGGUAAUGGCCUACCAAGGCGGCGACGGGUAGCCGGCCUGAGAGGGUGGACGGCCACAUUGGGGCUGGGAAUCGGCCCAGACUCCUUCGGGAGGCAGCAGGUGGGGAUAUUGCACAAAGAGCGCAAGCCUGAUGCAACGACGCCGGGGGGGGGGUGACGGCCUUCGGGUUGUAAACUCCUUUCGCUAGGGACGAAACUUUUUGUGACGGUACCUAGAUAAGAAGCACCGGCUAACUACGUG